rnacentral:rRNA from 1 species
GACGAACGCUGGCGGCGUGCUUAACACAUGCAAGUCGAACGGAAAGGCCCUGCUUUUGUGGGGUGCUCGAGUGGCGAACGGGUGAGUAACACGUGAGUAACCUGCCCUUGACUUUGGGAUAACUUCAGGAAACUGGGGCUAAUACCGGAUAGGAGCUCCUGCUGCAUGGUGGGGGUUGGAAAGUUUCGGCGGUUGGGGAUGGACUCGCGGCUUAUCAGCUUGUUGGUGGGGUAGUGGCUUACCAAGGCUUUGACGGGUAGCCGGCCUGAGAGGGUGACCGGCCACAUUGGGCCUGAGUUACGGCCAGACCCCCUCCGGGAGGGAGCGGUGGGAAAUGUGGCACAAUGGGGGGAGCCCUGAUGCAGCCCCGCCGCGUGCGGGAGGACGGCUUUCGGUUUGAAACCCCCUUUCCCCUGGGACAAAGGGGGUGUGACGGUAAGGGGUAAGAAGCCCCCGGCUAACUCCGUG